ensembl:lincRNA
AUGCAUGAAAACCGUGUGAGCGUGCCCGGGGCUGGUCUGAGUGCGCCCCACGGAAGGCGGAUAGAUCACCGCAGUCUGACCCUUCCGCCCGGAGGGGAAGCAGCGCACCGUGCAGCCGUGUGUACCUGCCCGUCCGUCCCAGGCUGGGAUUGUUUGGUGGGAGAGAGGCCGAGCCCGCCUGGGAGGCUGAGGAGGCCGUGGGGCGCCUGCCCAGAUGCUGUCCGCGUGGGGUGUGCACCCCACUCUCACGUCUGCCUCCGCUGCGUCCUUGCUCUUCCUGCAGUUGCUCCGGGCCGCCUCCCGGCCGUCGAAGACCUGGGAACCCCAGUGCAGUCCGGGAAACCAGUUCCAUGGGAGGCAGGAGGGAUAUCUGCGUUACUAAGGAGGCUUUCUCUGCCUGAAGACACUGGCCAGAGUCUCCCAGAUGAAAGGUAACUGAAGUGGGCUUUGAAGGAUGAGUAAGUAGGAGGGGAAUAGACGUUAACCACGUUCUGCCUUCCUAGUUUUGGGCAUUAUUGUGGUUCUGUUAUAACACAACCUUGGCAACUCUUCUCUAAAAGAAUUCCGAAGGUAAAUAUCAGUGAAAACUGACCAGUAUCCUUUCAGUAGCCACAGGGCUUGGUGGCACUCAAGGCCUUGGAAAUGAGCGGAGAAAUCUGUACCCCUGUGGCUCUUCUGGGUUUGUUCUGUUUGCACGCACCGGCCACAUCUGUUGGCUGUUCGAACAAAGGAUUAAGAAAAAUAGAACAAACUGCAUUCUCUGAACCUCUGCAUCCCCGUGAUUGAGGUCCGGAUGGUUGAUACCUGGGUGGCCCCCAGAGCCGCAUGCGCUCCUCGGAGGGGCUUUUGGAAGUGCUUGGAUUCCGGCAGCUUGGAGAGGACUUGCUGUUAGGGGGCGGGGCCUGGCUGAGGAGGCGGGGCUUGGCUGGAAGGGAAGUGCAUCUGGGCGGGGCCCCGAAGAGGGCCUCUCCCUCCUUCCUGUGUUUGAUGCAGUGAGCAGCGCUCCUCCGCCAGGCGCUUGUGCUGUGCGAAUCUGCCUGGGAGUGGAGGCCGUGGGCUUCAACCUCUAUAGACUGAGCCAAAACAGACCUCCUCUAAGUUGCAGGUGUGGGGCGUUUUGUCCCCUUAGCGAGGAAAGUGCUUAAGACAGGAUCUUCGUGGGUGUGAGCUGAGAUGAGGUCACUCGGGCCUCAGGCGGAUGGGACUAGUGUCCUAUGCAGAGCGGACAGACGCGCUCGCGGAAGAGGAGGCUGUUGAAGGGGAGGCAGAGGUUGGGGUCAUGUGUCCACCAGCCAGGGAAGGCCCAGGACAUCAGCACCCCCAGGACCGAGCAGAAGGGUGUGGGACAGGACGCCCCCUAGAGUCUGGGAGGAGGGCGGCCCUGCCAACACCGAGUGUGGACUUCUGGCCCUGGAACUACGAUAGAUUACAUUUGUUGUUUUAAACCAUUCAUCUGUGGUACUUUUUUAUGGCUGCUCUAGAAAACUAAUGGAUGUGUUAAAAAUCAGACUAAUAGCCAGCCGUGGUGGUGCAUGCCGAUAUGUCCAGCCCUUGGGAGGCUGAGGUAGGAGGAUUGCAGGGAGUUUGAGGCAGUUUGGGCAAUAUAGCAAGACCCUGUCUUCUUUUUUUUUUUUUUUCACAGGGGAUCGAACUUGGGACCUUGUGCUUGCAAGGCUGGCAGUGGAACCACUGAGCUAAAUCCCUGGCCUGCAAGAUUCUGUCUUGAACCUCCCCAAUCAUAUUAAUAAAUAACAUUUAAAAUCAGAGAUUUUAUGUAAAGAUCACAUUUUUUGAGAUCUCUAGAAAUGGGAGAUCUGUUCACACGGGG